UGUCAUUAAAAUCUGCCAAUUCGAACAUUUUCUUGGCAUAACCCAACUCUUCGUAAACCUAAUCUGCCAGUUCCGAAAAUUCCGUCCACAUUUGUAUUUCUAUCCUCACCAUUCGCGAAAUCGAGUUUUCUUCCAGCCCUCAAGACUUUGGGAAAUGGGGUUUGGCAAUGACCGCACACAGACAAGCACAGCAUCACAAGUUAAACGCAAAAGAGAUGCUCCGAGUGAUCAAGACGCGUAUUAUGAAGAAAGAUUGAGGAGAACGAUUUUAGAAAGUGCAUGGAGAGAAUGCUAUGAAAGGUACGAGGGGAGAAUGAAAGCCAUGGACGACCAGUUGGCCAUUCUGCGCUUCGAGGUUGAAUUUGUCCGAUCUAAGGUAGCUCGGACUGAAUCCCAAGUAAGCCCUGGUAUACAGGAAAGGCAUAUUACGAAAACACUUAAUAAAAAUAGGGUUUGAUUCUACACCCUGUGCGGACAAUGGCCGUGUGCGGAAAAUGAGGUUAGGUCCUAUGCCACCACAAGUUAGGAGCAAAAGAGAUGCUCCGAGCGAGCUUUACGAAGAAAGAUUCCAGAGAAGAAUGAAGGCUUUCGAUGAUCAGUUGGCCUUUCUACGCUCUGAGGUUGAACAUUUGCGAUCUCAGGUAGCUUGAACUGAAUCCCUUGUGGCAUCCAGUUCACAAAUAAAUGUAACUGCCAGCGAAAAAGUUCAGCCUUUUACAACAAGAUCAGGCUUGUGAUGUUAAUUUUCAUUUAUGAGUUAUAAGUGGACUCGGAAAUUUAAUCUUACGAAGCAUUUACAUAUGAAAAAGAAAGUGACAUAAUUUUCUUUUAUAGCCAGAUAUUCAACGCAUACACUUCAUUUUGGUCACGUGAUGACAAGAUUCUAUAUCAGAUCUCAUUUCUUGUAAAUGUCACUGCAUUUUAUUGCAUGUAAUGAAAAGACUUUCUCGUGUAUUCAUAAUUCUGAUAGUCACACGACUGUUAAAAGCUAAAAUGAAGAUAGAUUUAAAUAUGAAAAAGUGGAAGAACAAGCAAGCCGUGGUGUGUUUCUAGGCUAAAUAACUAAUAGUGUCAAAGUAAUAUCAUUCUCAAUCUACCCAAUUUGACGAUUUAAAAGCUAUGUUUACUGCCACCCUGUUCACUGAGUUGAAAGCGAACACAAAUUGUCAGGGGCUGUUCAAGUCUAAUUAGUUGGCGAGAUCUCUUUUUGACUCAUGAUCGGUAAGAUCUUUUGGAUUCUUUCUUUCCUUUAUUUUUUUAAUUUCAUUAAUGUAUCAACCGUGGUUAGUUAUUGCUUGACAUGGAUAUUUAAUUUCUAUUUUGCACUAAUAUAGAUAUCUUUCCUUAGGUUUGAGUUAAAGAAUUGCAUUUCAGCAUAAUAUAUUUCUGGUCAUAUAUGGUGACUGUUGAGUAAUAAUCUCACUAUUUCACGUGUCACGUAGUUAAGAACUGUGUAGAGCACCACAUUAAGGUUUUUUUUUUUAAAGUUCGCUUCUGUUUUGACAUUGAAAUCUAACCCUACAGCGAUCUUCGACACUUCUACAAAUAAGAUACCAAAAGGUAAGAACGUGAACAAUGGAAGCUGCAAAUAGAUUGUAAACUAAGGCUGUUAUAAACAAUGGAAAGUAAAAAUAUGUGAAGAGGGAGAAGACAACGAUGAAACUAAAGGUCAACUUGGGUGACAUUUAGAACUCUAGAUUUUCCAGCCUUGUGUGUCCAAAAAGUUAUGAGCUUAUUUGUGGAAUUUUGAUUUCGAAUUGUAGUGAUCAAGAUAAUAGCAUUCCCUAAAGUAAUUAUUGUUGCCUUCACUAAAGCAUGAGCUAUUGUGCAGCCAUCUGUUCUUUUCACCUCGUCUCACACUUCUUCAAAGAUGAUCACUUGUUUAUGCCAGUCUUGAUUUUUUAGACUAUGCAAUUAGAUAUUUCUCUUAGCCAAAUAUGUUGUGGUUUUUAUGGAUGAAUUUUAUAGUUUGGUUUGUGAAUAGCUCAUUAAGAACCUUUUCUAUUUAGUCAUUUGAUUUUUUACACUUGUCUCUUGAUUGUGUUGUCAGUGCUCCUGUUGUCCUUCAAAACUUAUGUUUAUAUGUAUGUUUUUUUACAUUAUUAAUACUUGCUUUAUCGUACUGAAUUCAUAUUUCUUUUCAGGCUACUGGGAGAGAGUAGCUGCUUGGCAUUAAUGAUGUUUUGUAGAUCUUGUCUAUUUCAUGUGGAAGACAAUAUUUUGCGAACUGUUAACGCUUUUGAAUGGUGAUUGCAAUUUUUCAGAUAUUAGAGCUUGUUUAGCUCAUUUAUUGAACAGUAUGGGGGUUGUUUUCUGCAUUUGAAAUUAGUUUUUGUCAUUUUAUAAAAUAGAAAUGAAUUUCAAAGAACAGUUUAGAAACAUUAGUUGCGAGCCAUGGCAGAUUAGGUUUAUAACAUUCUUCACAUUGUUUAUAUGUGGUAAAGAGUAAUUUUGCUGGUACUUUGCCAUCAUGA